rnacentral:rRNA from 1 species
UAGGGAAUCUUCCGCAAUGGGCGAAAGCCUGACGGAGCAACGCCGCGUGAGUGAUGAAGGUCUUCGGAUCGUAAAACUCUAUUAUUAGGGAAGAACAAAUGUGUAAGUAACUAUGCACGUCUUGACGGUACCUAAUCAGAAAGCCACGGCUAACUACGUGCCAGCAGCCGCGGUAAUACGUAGGUGGCAAGCGUUAUCCGGAAUUAUUGGGCGUAAAGCGCGCGUAGGCGGUUUUUUAAGUCUGAUGUGAAAGCCCACGGCUCAACCGUGGAGGGUCAUUGGAAACUGGAAAACUUGGGUGCAGAAGAGGAAAGUGGAAUUCCAUGUGUAGCGGUGAAAUGCGCAGAGAUAUGGAGGAACACCAGUGGCGAAGGCGACUUUCUGGUCUGUAACUGACGCUGAUGUGCGAACGAGUGGGGAUCAAACAGG